CCCUAUUCCCUAUAUAGUGAACUACUAGUGACCAGAGCCCUAUUCCCUAUAUAGUGAUCUACUAGUGACCAGGGCCCUGUUCCCUAUAUAGUGAACUACUAGUGACCAGAGCCCUAUUCCCUAUAUAGUGAUCUACUAGUGACCAGAGCCCUAUUCCCUAUAUAGUGAACUACUAGUGACCAGAGCCCUAUUCCCUAUAUAUAGUGAUCUACUAGUGACCAGAGCCCUAUUCCCUAUAUAGUGAACUACUAGUGACCAGAGCCCUAUUCCCUAUAUAGUGAUCUACUAGUGACCAGAGCCCUAUUCCCAAUAUAGUGAACUACUAGUGACCAGAGCCCUAUUCCCAAUAUAGUGAACAACUUCACUUGAUGUCCCCCCCCCAAAAAAAAUCCCCCCAAAUAUCUUAAAUCUUAUUCUGGUGACUAGAUGCUUGACUACCGUUUGACAAAUGAAAAUAUUCUCGCUCUUUUCCAUAAUAAUCUCAUCAUUCAGGCUAAACCACACAUCCUGUCUGCACUGUUGGAGAGCACGUCCCAAAACCAGAGGAGGCACACUUGCUAUUUACCACAAACAUUUCUGUGCCAAAACAACUGUCUGUAGAGUUGAAAAUGCCAUGGAAACGGAUUUAACUUGUUUUAUUUUUUUAUUUGGCGAAUGUAAAACACAGACGCUGGGAGACGAGAAGUACAAGGUGUGGAUUUAAUAAUACAUAUACAUGAAAACAAACCACGAACAACGUUUGUGACAUAAGAACAGGAAGAUAACCACAAGGCUGACUGGGAAUGAACCUGAGGGAGAGACAGGUAGAGAGGCAUGGAAAUCAUGGAAGAGAUGCAGUCCAGCAAGCCAAUGAAAACCAAGCCAGGAGAGAUAGGAGCUGCUUUGAGAGCCUGACCUUAUGGGACCUGAAGAGCCACAACCACAAUCCUUCUCUGUGGGUAGUUAAAGACAGAGAAGAAGAUGUGGAAUACCAGGAGAGAAGCGAGAGUGAGGAAGGAGAUGAAGAGGAAGAGUAUGUAUGUGUGAUAAUAGAAGGGUCAGAGGUUGAGGAAGAUGAGGAGGAAGAGGAAGAGGAGGAGGAAUACGAGGUGACAUGUGUAGGGGAGUAUGAGGAGGAAGAGGAGUGUUUGUUAGAGGUUGUGGUGAAAGAGGAGGAAGAGGAGUGUUUGUUAGAGGUUGUGGUGAAAGAGGAGGGAGUAGAGGAGGACGAAGAAGAAAGAGUGGAGAGGUAUGAGAAGGAGAAGAAAGAGAAGGAAGAGGAAGAAGAGAAGGGAGAAGAAGAAGAAGAAGAGGAGGAGGAGACAGCCAACACAUAUCCCAGGUGUGUCCAUCAUCAGGGCCUGAAACUGAGUGUGAAGGGGCUGAGAGGGAGACAGACAGGAGAGGAGAAGUACGGUCGGCUCAGAGAGAUCCUAGGAGACCAGUAUGUCAGGGAGGUUACCUGUGCCCCUGAAGGAGAUAGAGUGGUCCUCCACCUCUAUCACCCUAGGUGA
rnacentral:lncRNA from 1 species